UAGGGAAUCUUCGGCAAUGGACGGAAGUCUGACCGAGCAACGCCGCGUGAGUGAAGAAGGUUUUCGGAUCGUAAAGCUCUGUUGUUAGAGAAGAACGUUGGUAGGAGUGGAAAAUCUACCAAGUGACGGUAACUAACCAGAAAGGGACGGCUAACUACGUGCCAGCAGCCGCGGUAAUACGUAGGUCCCGAGCGUUGUCCGGAUUUAUUGGGCGUAAAGCGAGCGCAGUCGGUUCUUUAAGUCUGAAGUUAAAGGCAGUGGCUUAACCAUUGUACGCUUUGGAAACUGGAGGACUUGAGUGCAGAAGGGGAGGGUGAAAUUCCAUGUGUAGCGGUGAAAUGCGUAGAUAUAUGAAGGAACACCGGUGGCGAAAGCGGCUCUCUGGUCUGUAACUGACGCUGAGGCUCGAAAGCGUGGGGAGCAAACGGA
rnacentral:rRNA from 1 species